CGAACGCUGGCAGUGCGUUUUAAGCAUGCAAGUCGAACGGUAACAGGGUCUUCGGACCGCUGACGAGUGGCGAACGGGUGAGUAACACGUAGGUGAUCUACCUUGAAGUUGGGGAUAGCUCAUGGAAACAUGGGGUAAUACCGAAUACGAUCUUUAGACUAUGGUUUUUAGAUGAAAGGGGCUUUGGCCUCGCUUUAAGAUGAGCCUGCGGCUGAUUAGUUAGUUGGUGGGGUAAAGGCCUACCAAAGCGACGAUCAGUAGCCGGCCUGAGAGGGCGAUCGGCCACACUGGGACUGAGAUACGGCCCAGACUCCUACGGGAGGCAGCAGCUAAGAAUCUUCCGCAAUGGGCGAAAGCCUGACGGAGCGACACUGCGUGAGUGAGGAAGGCGGAAACGUUGUAAAACUCUUUUCUGGAUGAGGAAUAAGCAUAGGAGGGAAUGCCUGUGUGAUGACGGUAAUCCAGGAAUAAGCCCCGGCUAAUUACGUGCCAGCAGCCGCGGUAACACGUAUGGGGCGAGCGUUGUUCGGAAUUAUUGGGCGUAAAGGGCACGCAGGCGGAUUUGUAAGUCUGGUGUGUAAGACCACAGCUCAACUGUGGGAACGCACUGGAACUAUAAGUCUAGAGUUUAAGAAGGGGA
rnacentral:rRNA from 1 species